rnacentral:rRNA from 1 species
UGGACAAUGGGCGCAAGCCUGAUCCAGCCAUGCCGCGUGAGUGAUGAAGGCCUUAGGGUUGUAAAGCUCUUUCACCGGGGACGAUAAUGACGGUACCCGCAGAAUAAGCCCCGGCUAACUUCGUGCCAGCAGCCGCGGUAAUACGAAGGGGGCUAGCGUUGUUCGGAAUCACUGGGCGUAAAGCGCACGUAGGCGGAUCGUUAAGUCGGGGGUGAAAUCCCGGGGCUCAACCCCGGAACUGCCUUCGAUACUGGCGAUCUUGAAUCCCGGAAAAGGGGGUGGAAAUUCCA